UACGGAGGGGGCUAGCGUUGUUCGGAAAUACUGGGCGUAAAGCGUACGUAGGCGGCUUGGCAAGUCAGGGGUGAAAUCCCGGAGCUCAACUCCGGAACUGCCCCUUGAAACUGCCUGGCUAGAAUCUUGGAGAGGUCAGUGGAAUUCCGAGUGUAGAGGUGAAAUUCGUAGAUAUUCGGAAGAACACCAGUGGCGAAGGCGACUGACUGGACAUGUAUUGACGCUGAGGUGGCGAAAGCGUGGGAGCAACAGG
rnacentral:rRNA from 1 species